CACCGUGAGGUGUGUCUGGGUUCAGGUCCCACCGAGGAGGGCAGUUUCACUUCCUCCUCAGCCUUUUACUGGCUCCAACCAAGCUGUCCAAUCCCCAGUACUUCCUCCCCCACAGCGUGUAGGACUGUAGUGUUAGAGCUGGGGCUGCGCUGAGAACCCUUUAUUCUGUAGAUGGGAAAACUGAAGCUCAGAGUGGCAAAGCAACUUGUAAAAGGUCGCACAGCAAGUUAAUCUCAGAGUCGAAGUGGACCUGGCCCCGUGGUUUCCAGUCUGUCCCUCUUUACUAAACCGCCUCUGUUCAUCUGCUUUCGGCUUGUCAGUCAAACGGCAUUUUGAGCAAAAGCACUGCAGAGAGGUUUAACGAUUUCUUAAGUGCAGACACGACCCCAGAUCUGCUUCUGUGUCCAUUUGAAAAGGUCAUGGGAAUAAGGGAGGUGAGAAAUUCAGGGCAGAAGUCCUGCGAUUUCCUCCAGGCAGAGAAGUAACUGACACCAUCACUGACAGCUCACCGCGUGCUAGGCGCAAUGUGCUUCCUUGCGUUAUCCCACUUAAUCCCCUCAACAGAGAUAAUCACCCCCAGUUUACAAGCAAAUUGAGGCUCAGAGAGGAAAAAGGCGUUGUGGUUGCGGACCAGCGGCUGGAAGCCAGACACGCCGGGUGCUGCCUCUUGCUACCCUCUCGGUCCGCAUCACCUCCACCCGACAGAACAGGAUGCAGAGGCUCAGAAGCUGCGACAUCCAGUCACCCAGCACGGCAGUGACGCCGCGUGCCAGCAAACCCCGGCCCUCCCUGCCUCCCAGCCUUGGUGCCUUUCUCGGCACAAGGCUGUAAAGUGAUGACAUGAAGGUGGACUAUGUCCCGGGAGCGGGUCUGUGCGAUCCCGUCCCCACACCACACCUCCGCCCCCUCCUCUACCUGGCUGACUCCUCGCCGUCCUUGGACACCCAGCUUGAGGGCCCUCGCCUGCAGGCAGUCUGCCUGAUCUCCAGCCUGUUUCAGAACCCCCGGGGGCCUGUGCUUGGGCAACCAGGGUUCUUACGCUUCAGGUUGUAGCAGAUCCUUGUCAGUCUCCUCCUGCACUAGGGCGCCCAGGGGCCAAGAACUGAUGGCCACCCCGCCCCAGAAAAAAUAAAUAGAUUUAAUAAAUUGCAAGAUCAUCUGUAACUGCUCCCAAAACAGUGGCAUCCUGCAGGCAAGAGCCCACUAAAAAAGUCUUCUAGCAGGCGCCUCUGCUUCACCCACUCC
ensembl:lncRNA